rnacentral:rRNA from 1 species
AUACGUAGGGUGCAAGCGUUAAUCGGAAUUACUGGGCGUAAAGCGAGCGCAGGCGGUUUUGUAAGACAGUGGUGAAAUCCCCGGGCUCAACCUGGGGACUGCCAUUGUGACUGCAAGGCUGGAGUGCGGCAGAGGGGGAUGGAAUUCCGCGUGUAGCAGUGAAAUGCGUAGAUAUGCGGAGGAACACCGAUGGCGAAGGCAAUCCCCUGGGCCUGCACUGACGCUCAUGCACGAAAGCGUGGGGAGCAAACAGGAUUAGAUACCCUGGUAGUCCACGCCCUAAACGAUGUCAACUGGUUGUUGGGGAUUUAUUUUCUCAGUAACGAAGCUAACGCGUGAAGUUGACCGCCUGGGGAGUACGGCCGCAAGGUUAAAACUCAAAUGAAUUGACGGGG